rnacentral:rRNA from 1 species
AGAGUUUGAUCCUGGCUCAGGACGAACGCUGGCGGCGUGCUUAACACAUGCAAGUCGAGCGAUGAAACCCUUCGGGGUGGAUUAGCGGCGGACGGGUGAGUAACACGUGGGCAACCUGCCUCAAAGAGGGGGAUAGCCUCCCGAAAGGGAGAUUAAUACCGCAUAACAAUUAUAAUCCGCAUGGAUGAUAAUUUAAAGGA